rnacentral:rRNA from 1 species
UACGUAGGGUGCGAGCGUUAAUCGGAAUUACUGGGCGUAAAGCGUGCGCAGGCGGUUUUGUAAGCCAGAUGUGAGAGCCCCGGGCUUAACCUGGGAAUGGCAUUUGGGACUGCAAGGCUUGAGUGCGGCAGAGGAGACUGGAAUUCCUGGUGUAGCAGUGAAAUGCGUAGAUAUCAGGAGGAAUACCGAUGGCGAAGGCAGGUCUCUGGGCUGACACUGACGCUCAUGCACGAAAGCGUGGGGAGCAAACAGG